AAUAUGUGCCUGCCCAUUGCUACUGGAAUCCUCCACUCUCUUCACUGUAUGAUUUGGAAAGACCGUUCUGUAAAGUACAUACAUAAUCAAUCAGAAAACUAAAGCUCAGAGAUUAAGUUCAGCCAGGAACACGGUGGAGAUAGCAGAGCUGGGUAUACUUGGAAGGACUUCUUUUAAAAGUGUUGGAUUUGAAUCCAGGCUGUUGAUUCUGUGGUGUUGGUUCCAACACUUAAGGACAUUAGAAGUAUUAUACUUACGCGUCCUGAUGAUCACCUGAGAAAAUCAUAAGAAGCACUACAAACUCCAAGAAAGAUAAAAAAAGAAAAAAGCUGUGGAAACGUCAUCAUAAAACUCCUGAAGAACAAAGAGAAAAAUCACAAUGGGAUAUUUUCAAAAUGAUGG
rnacentral:lncRNA from 1 species